AUUGAACGCUGGCGGCAGGCCUAACACAUGCAAGUCGAGCGAGCGGCGGACGGGUGAGUAAUGUAUGGGGACUGCCCGAUAGAGGGGGAUAACUACUGGAAACGGUGGCUAAUACCGCAUACUAUCGGAUAACCCAUAUGGGAUUAGCUAGUAGGUGGGGUAAAGGCUAUCUUAGGCGACGUUCUCUAGCUGGUCUGAGAGGAUGAUCAGCCAAACUGAGAAUGAUACAAGGCCCAGACACCUUCGGAGGCAGCAGUGGAGAAUAUUGCACAAUGGGCGCAAGCCUGAUGCAGCCAUGCCGCGUGUAUGAAGAAGGCCUUAGGGUUGUAAAGUACUUUCAGCGAGGAGGCGUUACCCGCAGAAGAAGCACCGGCUAACGCCGUGCCAGCAGCCGCGGUAAUUC
rnacentral:rRNA from 1 species